UUCCCGAGGUCCUAGGAGUUAGUUAAUUAUUUUAGUUACUGUUUCAUCAGUAUUAAUAAUAUUUAUCUGGUAGUGAUAUUUUAAUCGCUUUUGAUGGUAUCUGGUUUCCUGAGAAAUGAAUUUAAUUCACAUUCUUUAUUUAAUCUUCCUUUUUGGUGGUUUCGGAUUUUAUUUUUUAUGAAGGUGUUGGGGGAUGAGCUCUGAUUCUUUUAUUAUAACUUGUUCUUGUUUUUAUUUUUGUGGGCUUUGUGUUGGUCAUCUAUUUGAGUAUGUUAAAAUUUUACUUUCUUAUUUAUGAUUUAUUGGUUGUUUAAUUAUUUUAUUGGGACGUUUAGUUGAAUUUUUUGUCUUUUGUUUUAUUGAUUGAAUUAGUAUAUAUACCUUUUUAUUUAGUAUGAUUUGUUAUAAUUUUCUUAGAGGAACUAGGCAACUUUUUAAUGUUCGCCUGUUUAACAAAAACAUCUCUUCUUGUGAAUUUUUUGAAGUAUAGUCUGCCCACUGAUAUUUUAUUGAAGGGCCGCGGUAUUUUGACCGUGCAAAGGUAGCAUAAUCAUUAGUUCUUUAAUUGUGAACUGGUAUGAAUGGCUUGACGAGACAUUAUCUGUCUUUUUGGAAUUUUGUUGUUGAAUUUGGUUUUUGGGUAAAAAUACCUAAAUUUUGUUAUGGGACGAGAAGACCCUAUAGAGUUUUAUGUAGUUUUCUUUCUUUAGUUUGAUUUGUUUUGUUGGGUUUAAAUUUACAUUUUGUUGGGGUGAUGGGAGAUAAAGUGUAACUUCUCCUUAUUUAUAAUUUACUUAUUUGUAUUUUUGUGAUC
rnacentral:rRNA from 1 species